GAUGAACGCUGGCGGCGUGCCUAACACAUGCAAGUCGAACGAAGCAGUCCUCUCCGGAGGGCUGACUGAGUGGCGGACGGGUGAGUAACGCGUGGGUAACCUGCCCUGUACAGGGGGAUAACAGUCAGAAAUGACUGCUAAUACCGCAUAAGCGCACGGGAAGACAUCUUCCAGUGUGAAAAACUCCGGUGGUACAGGAUGGGCCCGCGUCUGAUUAGCUUGUUGGCGGGGUAAGGGCCCACCAAGGCGACGAUCAGUAGCCGGUCUGAGAGGAUGAACAGCCACAUUGGAACUGAGACACGGUCCAA
rnacentral:rRNA from 1 species